CUGGUAUUGCAGGGCAGUCUGCAGUCAGCAGCUGACUGGACUGUUCAAGUAGGGAGGCAGCACCGGGGCAGAAACCACCUUACACUGCCCAGCCCCCCGCUCACCAUCACACCCCCCGAAAGUAUCAGCACCCGUCCUCCACUCCCGACACACUCACACUCUCUCUUUCCCUUGCCCUGUGCCUGUCUCUCUCCAUUCUACCAAGUAGCCGGCCAGACCUUUUCUCUCUCUCUCUCUCUCUCUCUCGCACUCUCUCUCCUGCCCUGUCGACAUCCAUCGAGCGUUCCACGCCUUUCUCCCUCAGCUUCCAAAGCCGUGCUGUCUACCGUUACUGCUGCUGUCCGUCCGUGUCUCUAUCUGCAACAAGUUCCCUGGGACAUUUUUGGAAACUUUUUUUCCUCAAGACAUUUCUUUUUUUGCUAUCUCCCUGGAGACGCCAGUGCAUGUGGUGCUGUGUGUGAAAGGGUCUAGUGUUGCUCUUUCCUGGGGGUCUCUGUACACCAUUAACCAGAGGAGAAGAUUACUUGACAUCAUGAUCAAAGUUCAGCUGCUGCUUCUGCUGGCCCUGGUCGGCCCCCUCUGUGCCGUCGCACACGCAAGCACACUGGUGACACCAGUAGAGCUGGUGACAGAUUCCCCUGCUGUUCCCGAGGCCACUGAGGCCCUCAAAGAGGAAGAUCCCGUAGUCACCCAUGCCCCUUCGGCUGAACCCGAGGCUGCGGCCGAGGAUGUCGUAACGGACACCCCUGCCGCCGAGGAUGUCGUAACGGACACCCCUGCCGCCGAGGAUGUCGUAACGGACACCCCUGCCGGAGAAGAAACCGCCGCUACUGAGGCUGCUGCCACGGACGUCGCUCCCGUGGAGACCGAAGCCCCUGCCCCUACCACUGAAGCUGCCAAGCAGGAGGCGGCCACAACUAACGCCCCUGCCAUCAUCACCGAGGCCCCGGCGGAGCCCGAAGCCGAGGCCACGACAGCUGCAGAGGCUAAGGAGGAGGUGGAGGAGCCAGAGGAGGGUAUGGGCUCUGGACAAGUGGUUGGUAUUGGGAUUGGUGCAUUGGUGGCAGUGAUCGUUGUCAUCGCCGUGGUGAUCGCCGUGGUGAGGAGAAUGGGUAAAUAUUCGGCUGCUGCUGCUGCUGCUGCUGCUGCUGCUAAGAAAAGGGCUGCCAAAAAAGGGAGCAUCUUGCCCCUGAGGAGAAAGGCUGCAAGACAGGAAGUCCCCAAAACGUUCUGGCAAUUCUGAUCUAUGUAAUUUCCUGUCAUUAAACAAGCAUUCUACCAGCACUCUAACUUAACCAGGAUCUUGGACUGUUGACAAAAGGAGGGGAAGGUGUGUGGGGGAGGAUGUUUGCCCACCUCUCCUCUUCUCCCCCAACCCCAAGACAGGGCCAUUGACAUCAGCGGUCCUGUACAACCACACAGCAACCCCCCAUACCAACAACCAAACUGAAAAAAAGGUUGCCCACAGGAUGUCACAUUGAAUUUCAGGGUCUUUCAUUUGGAUUUGUAAAAAUAAGUAAGGGAUUAUCUCACUUGUGGUAGAAAACGCUCUCUCUUAUGCAAGGGUGUGUACAUUAACACAGAUGUGCAUUUGAGUUGGUGAAGAGGACCUAUACAAGAAAAAAAUGGGAAUAUGGAAAAAAGGAGACGGGAGAGAAUGUUGUGAAUUCCAUAGGGUGUAUAUACCAUGCAAAGGGACUAUAGUUAUUACUUUAUCAUAUGUUGCAGUUGCUCACUAUAGCAUUCAGUAUAUGGAACAUUGCAAAGCAGCCAAAGGCUAUUGUGGCCAAUGAACCGAACUGAAAAUCCCUCAGAAAAACCAACCACAUUAGUAUUUUGUCACCUUAACACCUAGCCAAUGAGUCCCUCACUACAGAAAUGUUCCAACAACUAUAUGAAGCACUGAAUGCAGAAGUUGAUUUGACAUUGUGCUCAUGUUCUGAGGGUUAGCGAGGGGCUAAUGAAAAGACGGCUCAUUUGCAAGUGUAACGUGACAUUCUGCCAGCUUUAACACUGACAUAAAAACCUAGUACAUAUCUGUGAAAUUUAGCAGAAGGGUUUGUGCCACUGUCUCUGGUAUUCCCUGGAUAGUUUGGAGAUGUUACUAUUGAAGUACAUUAAUGUGAAUUGACUGUACUUUAACUGCCACCCAUUCCAAUAGGACAGUUUUGACGACUUCAGGUUUUCACCCAAAAAUGUGUUCCAUGUACAGGUAGUGGUUAUUAGCCCCCAUUCUGCUAGCAUUAUCUUUUAUAAUGUAUCCACCGUACUUCUGCUUACUUUAGUUGGGAUAGAGUAUACCAAGCAAAAAUACACACACAUUUUCUUCAUAAUCGUUAGUAGUCAUUAAUGGGUGUAAAAAUCAUUCAGUCUCAGCUUAGCUCCGCUUGCUUUAAGAACUCAGUUAAUAAGUGCACUGAAUGAGUGAUGAUAAUUGUUUAAUGAAUCCGCUUUAGACACUGCAAUCGUUUGCGACGACAUUUGUUCUCCGCUUUUGCUCCAUAUUAUCAACAAGUCCUUCAAGUCCUUUUAUUUAAUUGCAGUGUGUUUGUUCAUACUGUUUCAAUAAAAAAGUGAAAACACUCCACAAAUAUACACU
rnacentral:lncRNA from 1 species